rnacentral:rRNA from 1 species
GAUGAACGCUAGCGGCAGGCUUAACACAUGCAAGUCGAGGGGUAUAGUUCUUCGGAGCUAGAGACCGGCGCACGGGUGCGUAACGCGUAUGCAAUCUACCUUUUACAGAGGGAUAGCCCAGAGAAAUUUGGAUUAAUACCUCAUAGUAUGUGAGAAUCGCAUGGUUUUCACAUUAAAGUUCCAACGGUAAAAGAUGAGCAUGCGUCCCAUUAGCUUGUUGGUAAGGUAACGGCUUACCAAGGCAACGAUGGGUAGGGGUCCUGAGAGGGAGAUCCCCCACACUGGUACUGAGACACGGACCAGACUCCUACGGGAGGCAGCAGUGAGGAAUAUUGGACAAUGGGCGCAAGCCUGAUCCAGCCAUGCCGCGUGCAGGAUGACGGUCCUAUGGAUUGUAAACUGCUUUUGUACAGGAAGAAACACUCCCUCGUGAGGGAGCUUGACGGAACUGUAAG